GGCAAAGCGUCUACCGUGCAGCGCUCUAGCUCCCAGUUCCAUGACCCAUACCUCCUCUCGGAUAUGCUGGUCGUUCCGUACGUUCUAUCGUUUCUUGGCACUGCCGUUUGGGUUGUGUUCCGCGUGAGUACAACAACUGCCAGUGGAUACACAGGUGUCGCUCUCCGCGCAUCAUCGCCGGGAUUGUCCCAAGUCACAGACUAGUCACAGACUAGACGGCAGCUCUCAGAGAGGCACCUUGAUGCCCAGUGCACGUGCUGGACAUGCGCAAUGACAGUGUACUCAUGAAGCGCUAAUCAUCUCUCCAAAAGAAGCUUUUCGGAGUUCUGCAUACUUAGCGGAUUCUAGAAAAGACGAUUCCCCAGAGAUGGAGCAAUCGUUUCUCUCAAUAUUGUACUCGAGCGCGACGAGAAAAACCUGCUUGCAGAGUCGUACGUUCGAGCAUCCGAAGCGGCAGCGCACUUUUUCCAUGUCAUCUCCAGAACGGCCUCGACUCUGUGUUGCGAACGGAAAGCUGGGGGUGCCUCGAUCCCGAUCGUUUUAGAAGACGCUGCUUGCCCUGCUUUCCUGGGCAGAGUACGUGCCUUUGGUCGUGAUCCAACGAAUCGUCUUUACGGUCUCAGAUUGGCCGCUCGCUCUCGUUCAUCCACCAGAACCUGUUUCAGCUAGUUUGAGGAACGCCCUAAAGAAGGUGUCGUGCUUCCCGUUGGACUGGCAAUCGUACGGAACGCCUCACGAGCACCCGAAUACUUCCAAUCAACCGCUUCAAUAUUAAGCAGUACAGAGUCCGCAUCAAAUACAAAUUUGAUAGGAAGACCGGCCAGCAUCAGGGUACGUCCAGUCAUCCGCAGCAAAUUGCCGGCGUACUGGUAGACGCCGCUGCGUGCAGCCUCUAUCGCACCGGUCAGGGUAUUCCGUUGCAUCACACCAGGACACCACUCUUCUACUUCGUAGACUCGCUCGGCAUCAAGUCCUCGCAGGCGUAAGCGAGGCUCCAGCCGCCCAACUUCGCGUAUCUGGUUGAACGCGAACACUAACGCACGGUUGCGAUCCGCGGAAACGUACAUCCAGGCACAAUUCUGGGUGCGAAACGGACACCACAGCCGAUACAUAUCUCCAAACAGUACAACCGGAGCAACCUGCCGAUACAAUUCAAUGUAGUGUCGAAUCUCUCGGAGCUCAUCCUCAGACAGGACACGCGGGUCUAAUUCAUACCCAAAAGUACCGCACAUGGCAACCAGAGAUCGCGUCUUCAUCGGAGCGCUCCGCAGCGUCUGGUGAUUCGGCACGGUGGACACGUGCGCGGCAAUUGCCUUGGCGGGUGCCCAGAGCGAGGUGCCCGCCUGGAUCCGCAUCCGACUCGACGCAUCCGUAUUGUCGCUGGUCCAUAUCUGGGAGCUGUAGUACAGAAGGCCAGCAUCGAAGCGGCCGCCGCCACCGGCACAAGUCUCGAAAAACACGUCAGGAAACUGCUCCUGAAUACGGCCCAGUACUUCGUAGAGCCCGAGAAUAUAGCGAUGCGCAAUCUCGCCUUGUCGUUCAGGCGGAUGCACUGCGCUGUAGACUUCCGUCAGGAACCGAUUAUUAUCCCAUUUGAUAUAGCUGAUUGCACACGAGCUUAGAAUCGUGCUCAUGGUGUCGACGAGCCAAUCGCGAACUUCGCUGCGUGUCAGGUCGAGCACCAGCUGGUUGCGGCCCAUGGUCUUGCCGCGACUUGGAAUAUGCAGCGCCCAGUCCGGGUGCGCCUUGAAAAGGUCCGAUUCGACGGAGACCAUCUCUGGCUCGACCCAGAGACCGACCUUGAGACCCGUGGCGGUCAGCUCGCGAACCAAACCAUGCAGACCGAAAGGCAACUUGGUCGGGUUCGGGUACCAAUCGCCCAGGCCGUCCGAGGUGUCGUUGCGUCGGCCAAACCAGCCGUCGUCAAUGACGAUCAUCUCAAUUCCAGCACGUUUCGCUACCUCUGCGAUCUUCAGUACGGACUCGUGCGAGAGCUGGAAAUACAGCGCCUCCCAGGUAUUGAGAAGCACCGGCGGGAUGUAUGUGCGGAACUGCGGCGGCUGCAGGCGAUCCCGUAUCAGCCGAUGGUAUCGACGACUCAUCUCUCCGAUGCCUUGCGCACUGUACGUAAGGAUCACCUCUGGCGUGAUGAAUUCCUCAUCAGGCUCGAGGUUCCAGUAGAAGCCCUGGGGAUGAAUGCCAAUAUUCAGGCGCGUACGCCCGGUCUCGCUCACCUCACACUCCACGAGAAAAUUUCCCGAGUAGACGAGUAGCGCAGCGAACGCUUCACCGGUAUCUUCGUUCGGCUCACCAGCAGAGAUAAUUGCGAACGGGUUGUGCUGGUGUGAAGAGCCACCGCGUGUGGAGCCGAACGAGGUCUGCCCGCUGCGCAGAUGCCGUAUCACCUGUUGGCGUUCUCGUGCCCAACUUCCGGAUAACUGUGUCAAGUAGUAGUCGUCAGUUUCAAAGUCCAGCGUCGCUGACAUCGCUCGGGUAAUGAUCACAUUAGCGUCACCCUCGUUGCGAAUGCGGCAAUGACGAGUGAUCACAUCGUAAUCAUGCACAACACAGUAGAUGAGCUCCACCACCAAACCGGUGACGUUGUCGACCAUUUCCACAAUUAACGUCGUCGCUUCGUGGACGUCCUCGGUGAACACAGCUGGCAUGUAAUUGGGCAUCGGAAUUUUGCCGCGACGGAUGCGGUGGCGACGAUACGUGAAGGGCGACAACGUGGAUCCAUCCUCAUAGAUGACACCAAUCGAGGGAAUGCGGUAGUCGCCAGUUCCGCUAUCGGAGAUUUCUAGCAGCUUCACGUUCUUGCUAAUUGUCUCUUGAUCCAACUUACCCCAGUUCACGACGGAUGCUGUUGAUUUCUGCCCCGAGUCCAGAUCCAGCUCAGAAGCGGUCUGCAUGAGCGAUGGAGCUUGUUUGCCUCCGGCUGUGCUCUGCUGGACGCUCUGAGGUCCUUGUGGGCCCUCCGCUGCGCUACCGCUCACCAUUCGAGCGGGCGCCUCCUUGGGAGCGCCCAUGCUGUCGCGUUUCCCGCGAUUCCAGUCGAGACGCGGACUGGUUAUCACUGAUGCCAACGAGUGCUCUGAUCGCGACAAGUCCAGCGCAGGCGUCGAGGCGAACCGAUGUAGCGAACCAGGUGCCGUGCUGCUCGCACGAUCCGAGGCAUCAACAAGCUCUCCGCCUGCCUCACCACUGGGUAAAAUU